GAUGAACGCUGGCGGCGUGCCUAAUACAUGCAAGUCGAGCGAACAGACGAGGAGCUUGCUCCUCUGACGUUAGCGGCGGACGGGUGAGUAACACGUGGAUAACCUACCUAUAAGACUGGGAUAACUUCGGGAAACCGGAGCUAAUACCGGAUAAUAUAUUGAACCGCAUGGUUCAAUAGUGAAAGACGGUUUUGCUGUCACUUAUAGAUGGAUCCGCGCCGCAUUAGCUAGUUGGUAAGGUAACGGCUUACCAAGGCAACGAUGCGUAGCCGACCUGGGAGGGGGAUGGGCCACUGUGGAGGUGACACGCGGCCCGGGCACCGAGGGGAGGCCGCAGCUGGGAAUCGUGCGAAAAGGGGGGAAGCCUGAAGGAUGGACGGCGGGUGGGUGAAGAAGGGCCUCGGGCGGGAAAACGGUGUUAUUGGGGAAAAACAAAUUGGUAAGUAACGAAGCGGGUGUGACGGGAACCGAUAAAGAAGCCCCGGCCAAACACGGG
rnacentral:rRNA from 1 species